UGGUUGUGUAGCUGGUUGUGUAGCUGGUUGUGUAGCUGCUGGUUGUGUAGCUGGUGGUUGUGUAGCUGGUUGUGUAGCUGGUUGUGUAGCUGGUUGUGUAGCUGGUGGUUGUGUAGCUGCUGGUUGUGUAGCUGGUUGUGUAGCUGGUUGUGUAGCUGGUUGUGUACCUGCAG